rnacentral:rRNA from 1 species
UACGAGGGGGGCAAAUGUUGUUCGGAAUCACUGGGCGUAAAGGGCGCGUAGGCGGGUUCUUAAGUAAGGUGUUUAAUCCCGGGGCCCAACCCCGGACCGGCACUUUAAACUGGGAAUCUUGAAUAGUGGAGAGGUCAGUGGAAUUGGGGGUGUAGCGGUGGAAUGCGUAGAGAUCCCCAAGAACACCAGUUGCGAAGGCGGCUGACUGGACACAUAUUGACGCUGAGGCUCGAAAGCAUGGGGAGCAAACAGG